CCUACGGGAGGCAGCAGUGAGGAAUAUUGGUCAAUGGCCGUAAGGCUGAACCAGCCAAGUCGCGUGAAGGAAGAAGGAUCUAUGGUUUGUAAACUUCUUUUAUAGGGGAAUAAAGGUAUCCACGUGUGGAUAUUUGCAUGUACCCUAUGAAUAAGCAUCGGCUAACUCCGUGCCAGCAGCCGCGGUAAUACGGAGGAUGCGAGCGUUAUCCGGAUUUAUUGGGUUUAAAGGGUGCGUAGGUUGUUUUUUAAGUCAGCGGUGAAAGUUUGUGGCUCAACCAGAGAAUUGCCGUUGAAACUGGAAGACUUGAGUGUGUUUGAGGUAGGCGGAAUGCGUGGUGUAGCGGUGAAAUGCAUAGAUAUCACGCAGAACUCCGAUUGCGAAGGCAGCUUACUAAGCCAUAACUGACACUGAAGCACGAAAGCGUGGGGAGCAAACAGGAUUAGAUACCCGUGUAGUC
rnacentral:rRNA from 1 species